rfam:Myotis brandtii contig187581, whole genome shotgun sequence.
CCAAAGGCUCUUUUCAGAGCCGCCUACCGCUUCAAUGGAAGAGCUGU